AUUCGAGACCUUCUGGGUGGGAAGGAGGCAGCCAUGUGGUGAUCUGGGGAAGAGUGCUGCAAGCAGAAAGGCAAGUAAAAACAAAAGCCCUGAGGCAGAAAUGUGCUCCUUAUGCUUAAGAAACACCGUGAAGGCCAACGUGGUUGGAGCAAUGUGAGCAAGAAGAAUAGAGGGGCCUUGGGAACAUAGGUAGCUGAGUCCUCAUGGAUCAAGGGAGAGGAACAAUUAUUACUUGCUGAGAGGAGCUAAGCUGAUCUGCAUGAUGAAGGAAUGGAAUGGGCUAAGGAAGACGUCCAGACAGGGAAAAGCCUUAUGGAAGGGAAUUCAACAGAGUUUUCAGAGAUUAGCACAUUUGAGGCUCUCUAAAUAAUCAGAUGUGGAGGAAGGGGCUUCUGAGAUGAGCUAACACGACUAUGACCCAGAGUCUUUUAAUGUUCUUCCAAAUACGUGAUCAAAUAAUGGAAUUUAUUCUGUAUUAAUUUUGAGCACUAAACUGUGCAUUAAGUCUAUAGAGGGAUUGGACCCUAUGGUCUCCCCUCUGAUUUACAAGAAUUAUGUUUUUAAAAGAUGGGGUCAUACUAUAUUUACUUUUACUUAUAAAACAUUUUAAAAUUUUAAUUUUAAAUUAAUUAAUUUAUUUUUGACACAGAGUCUCGCUCUGUUGCCCAGGCUGGAGUACAGUGGCUCGAUCUGAGCUCACUGCAACCUCCGCCUCCUGGGUUCAAGUGAUUCUCCUGCCUCAGCCUCCCAAGUAGCUGGGACUACAGGCCCAUGCCACCAUGCCCAGCUAAUUUUUCUAUUUUUAGUAGAGACAGGGUUUCACCAUGUUGGUCAAGCUGGUCUCGAACUCCUGACCUCAUGUGAUCCACCCACUUUGGCCUCCCAAAGUGCUGGGAUUACAGGCGUGAGCCACCCCCCGGCCUUUCAAAAAAAUUUUUAAUUCACCACUAUACUAAUGAGGAUAUAUUUGGUACUUACAUGAUCUUUUUUUUUAAAAAAAAAAACAAUUAAAUCUUAUGGUCAAUAAAUGCAGAAAUGAAUUAUCCUUUGAAACAGCUGCAUGGUUGGCCUUCAUUUGUCUUCAUCAUAAUUUAUUUAACCCCCACUUACCGAUUUUUGUCAUUGUUGUUGUUUGUUUGUUUUAAAUAGAGUCUCACUCUGUUUCCUAGGCUAGAGUGGAGUGGUGUAGCCUCAAACCCCUGGACU
rnacentral:lncRNA from 1 species